UGACCCCCUCUUUGAGAGCAUGUUAGUCUUUGUCUCUGAUCAGAAUGCUUAGAAGAAUUCCAAAAUUGGGUCCAGAGAAGAAAGAGGCAAGUAACUUGUUCUGUCCCACUGGGCUGGUUCUCACCUGUGCCUCUGCCUCAGAUCAGCCUCCCCUCAUCUUUGGGGGUGUGGGGUACCAGCGCUGACACUGUCCCAAAAGGGCUUUUGUCUUGGUACAGGAUGCUACCCCUCUGGCUGCAGCCUGCUCCAGAAAAGGAGUGUUUGCAUCUCCAUUUCCAAGAAGAGGAAGCAUUUUCUUGGCCAGGGAAAGGAGAGUGUCGAGAAAAGUCCUGGGCCUCUCUGGGCCCUAUGCCCGCAUUUCCCCAGGGCAGACAGUGGAAACAGGCCCUGGGGCUUCUGGACCACAGCUGCCUCUGGGGAAUUAGGCGCCAGGUGUCCUUUCUCUCUGGGGAAAGCCCUUCUUCAGGCUUAGAGAAAAUAAAACAAAGCAAGUCAGCUGGGAGAGCAGCCUGUGCAGGUGGCAGCUGCCUGGAACCAGGCUCCUUUUCCUCCAGGUUGGCAGCCCCAGCAUCCUUCAGCACCUUCCCAAUAACAAACCGAGAGCUGGAGAGGUGCUGUGGGGCCUGCCCCGUCUCCAUGACAAGGGACCUGAGAGGACGGCCGGAAGAAGUGGGGGGGCCUUUCCUAAGCACAUAAUCACCGAGCAACCAUCAGAAUCACCGGGGAGCCUCCUGUGACACAGAUUAGGGAGCCUGUCUCCCUCAAGUACCUGAUCAGUAGGUGGUCUGGGGUGGGGCCCAAGAAUUUGCAUGUUUGCUUUGAUGAUGCUUUGAGGCCCACUUUUCUGAUGAAAUCAAUGGUCUCUGAAAGACCAGAGGCUGCUGCUUGGUUUCCGCCUGCACUUCCUGCCAGCUGUCAGCCUAGGAAAACGCCAGCUUCCGUUUUGGUAGAAGCAAGGAGUGAAUGAGCCAAGGGUCCUUCCUGCUUCGCUUCCACCUUCUAUUGUACAGAGAAAACUUGGGGCAGGUCCACUUCUUUUCCAUGAAGGUCCCCAGUUGGGCAGUGCCCUGAAAUCACUUCUAACGCUGAUGCUAGGCACCACCUCAGACCUACUGCUCAGACCCUCCAGGGGCAGGGCCCAGGAUUGAAGAGGGAAGCCCUGCCCCGCACGUGUUCACCAGGAAGGACCCACAGACUGCUGCUCCUGGAGGCCCCUCAGGGUUUCUGGAUGUGUGUUUGUUCCAUAAACCCUCAAGAGAGUCACCUGGAGACCUGCUAAAAUGCAGGUUCUUGGGCCACAUCCUAGACCUUCUGACCGACCCAGGGAGUGGGGCCCAGGAAGCUGCAUUUGACAGAUAACCCAGUGUGAUCAUCAUGCACACAGGAGUGAGAGAACCAGUGUUCUCCCCGGGCAGAAGGGAAGCUCGUGUGCAGGACACCUCACGCCUCCUUUCCCAUUCCCCUGCCAGGCUCUCCCUGCUGACAUUGUUUCACGGGAGAGCUGUGAAUUCUGAAUAUUAGAUUGCUUCUCACCCCAAGCUCCAAAAGUCCAGGCUGAGCCAAACCAUGCUUCAAGUUGUGAGUAUUUUGAAUAAUGAGCCCUUGCUCAUUAAUCGAUCCUGUACUGAAAUAGCCCUUGCUGUCCAUGCUGUAGCCUGGUGGUUCUCAGGCCGGGCUGCACAGUAGAAUCACCUGUGUGGGUGGGGGGUGUCCAGGAGGGAUGGUGAGGGAGGUUUAAAAAUACCCAGAGAUUCUGAUUCCACUGGCCUGUGCAGGGGCCCGGACAUAGUAUUUUGAACUCCCAAGAUGCUUCUCGUGCAGCCAGUGUUGAGAACAUUUGCUGUAACUAUGAAGAGAAUAUUUCACUCAAGAACAAGUCAAAUGACAAAAACAAAACUCCAGGCUGAAAUCAUAGGCUUCUACAAGCAGGUGCCUGGACUUGGAGAACCAGGAGGUGAGGGGACUGACUGCUUGAAGAUCACGUGGAGGAGGAGUCUGAUCCAGGCCCAGGCACCGAGGAAAGGCCACGCAAGGGCAUAGGGAGAAGGGCAGCUGUCUGUAAGCCAGAAAGAGCCUUCACUAGAAACCAAAUCAGCCAGAACCUUCAUCUUGGACUUUCCAGCCUUCAGAGAUGUGAAAAAAUAAAUUUCUGUUGAUUAAGCUA